rnacentral:lncRNA from 1 species
UCUUGUCUGUUUGUGAAAAUCUGAGUGAGGUUAGAAAAUUGAAAUGUUAUUUUACUUUAUGAUUCUGAUUAAUAAUUAUAAAUUUUGUUUAGAAUAUUUAUUUAUUUUUAAAUUCAUAUAAACUUGGGUUUAUCAAGUUAAUGCGAGUUGAGCUUUGAUAAUCUUCUGAUCUCAGUGGUAUCCCUGUUGGACGAGGGAAAGAGAGAGCGUGUUGGUGAGAGAGAGAGCACUGAUGGUUGGAAAGUCAGCUGAGAAAGUCGUUUUGUGAGGGCUAACGUCCAUCAGAGCAUCUUGCUUAUAAAGUAACCCCAGAAGAAGGAUAAGAAAGCCUGGUAUGGUUGAAGCAGAUUUGUGGAGAUGGAGAUGCAUGCAUGGAUGCUGAUGUGAGUUGGGCGGGUAUCCUGAUGUCAUCACCCGAAGCCUCCAAGUAGGGCAUGACAGAUUGCUGGAGUUUGUGAUACAUGACAGCAUUUCUCUGUGCAAUGCAUCGAUGCUGAUAUGAGCUGGGCAUCCAGGAGUCAUAGACCAGUGCCUUCAAGUGUGACUCUUGACAGCUGGUAUGAAGCAGAUUGCUGUUGGUGGAGAAAGCAUACUGUACAUUGGUGUUGAAUGCAUGGAUGUUGAUGUGAGCUGGGCGGGCACCGGGCACCUCACCCUCCUGUCAUCACCCGAAGCCUUCAAGUAGGACAUGACAGAGAAGGAGAGGGGAGACCAGCUCAGCGAUUGAAGUGAGUUCUCAGAGCAGAGUGAAAAGGAGUAAGGAGACCAGCUCAGCGAGUGAAAUGAGUUCUCAGAGCAGAGUGAAAAGGAACAAGGAGAGGAGAGACCAGCACAGCGUGCGAAGUGAGUUCUCACUGAUUGCAGACCUUGGGAUUGUGCGGCUACCGAUAUGGAGGAGAGAGGGAGACACACCAAAGGAGAAUGAUGGCCUGCUCAAACGGAACCGCGGGAGAAGGAGGAAGAAAAAGCAGCAAAGAAGAAAAUUUAAGAAGAUAAAAAGUGAAUUAUUCAAUGAAAAGUGAAGUGAUUCAAUGAAGAGUGAAAAGGACUCGAAUUUACUUUACUUUCAUUCUAAAAGGACUUUGAAUUAUUUGUUUUGUUUUUUAUAUUUUUUGCUUGUUUUGUUGUUGAUAUUGUGGCAUGUUUUGCUGUAAAUAAUAAAUGCUUAUGGGGUGGGUGUCCUUUUUGAGGUCUUUUCAGGCAGCUGAAUAGUGAAUUGAGUGAAAAGUGAACUAUUGAAAGGACUCGAAUUAACUUUCAUUCUCAAAAGACUUUAUAUUGAUCCAUAUUUUGUGAUGUUGUUGAUAUUGUGCAUGUGUUGGGGUGGGUGUCCUAUUAGGGGCAUUUCAGGCAUCGCGGAGGCAGCUGUUGGAUGGACAGACUACGCAGAACUUCAAUCAAGGUAAAAGUCAGCUCUCGACCGAUUGUAACAGUUCGAUCUAGUUCUUUUUCUAAAUUCUUAUUUAUCAAAGUUUUCUUUUGAAUUAAUUUUUCCAGAUCUGAAUAAUUUCCUCCUAUUUCAGUAUAAUUAAUAUUAUUAUUGAUUGACUAAAAUAGAGAAUUAUUAAUUUUGAAUUUCAUUUCUUAAUUUAUUUAAAUCCUAAAUUUUGUUUAAUGUAUUGAAAUUAAUGUCUUGUAGAACUGUUAGAUCGGUCCUGGGCGACUUGUGUGGAAUUGGUAAUAGCAUGUCUCGACCAUCACUCCCUAAGUUUUUUUUCAGCUUUUAUACUUUUGAAUAUGUUUUUAUUUUCAGUUGCUUUGGAGGAGAACCUUCAGUUCGAAUUCAAUAUCGAAUUAUCUGUCGAUAAGAGAGUUUUUCUUUAGUUCGAAUUCAAUAUCAAAUUAUCUGUCGAUAAGAGAGUUUUUCUUUAGUUUAAAUUCAAUAUCGAAUUAUCUGUCGAUAAGGGAUGUUUUGUUUAGUUUGUUUCUUUUAAUUUCUUCAAAACUUUUCCCAAUUUCAGUACAGUUUUUUAUAUUUAGUUUGGGAUUUUUCUUAAGUUAUCUCUUUUCUUGGAAACUAUCUCUAUCUACUUUAACAGAAUUUUCUAUAAUAUAUUGUUCCAAUAAAAUGUAAAUUUCUGGGGUGCUGCCACACUGUUUGCUUUUUUCAGGAGGAAAUCGUCAUCAUAAUUUAUUUUUUGUCUUGUUUGUUGUGUGUUGUUGCAUCUCUCUAAAUAUUGUUAGCUAACUUUUUCAAUUAUUUCUAUUGUAAUAAGUUUAUACAUUGUAAAGUGUAAUUUGUAUGUACUCCCUUCCUUUCUCAUUGCACCAUCCAUUUAUACUUCUUACUUCAAUUCACUUAUUUCCUUUUUUUCUCUCAAUUUCAUUUCCAACUUCUUGGCUUCGCAAUGGUUCAAAACACACCUUAACCUGCAGGUCCACUCAUCUCUCAUCAUUAUCCAUUCUAUUACCCAUGCACAAGCCUAGAGCUCAUGUGGGCAUUAUCAUCUAUCACCCAAUUAUUUUCUUUCUAAAACUGUCAUUUUCGUCAUUACUAUUUCUGACCACCUUUCCUGUAAACUAAUCUUUCCCUCAAUUUAUAAAUUCAUUACUUUCAAAUUGUAAACCUUAAAUCUAAAUUAAUAUCAAAAUGAGGUUCCAAAUCUACAGUGUAACCUGAAUCUUUAAGACUAUUUGAAGAGCCGUCUCUGCUAAUAAUCAUUUUAAUCUCAAUAAUAAUUAAAAUUCAUUCCACUUGAUAAUAAUUAAAUAGCUACUCAAUAAUAAAAUCCCACUACUCAAUAAAAUAAUGAUCCCACUUGAAGCUUUGGGUCCACUUACCUCCCUUAUGUUGUAAUCAUAUUCUGCUUUAAAAUUCUACAUCUAAAUUUCAAUCCAUUUUCAAGUGUUC